GCCGCCAUGGUGAAAUUGGUAGACACGCUGCUC
rnacentral:tRNA from 2 species